UAGUCCACGCUGUAAACGAUCAUCACUCGCUGUUGGCGAUAUACUGUCAGCGGCCAAGCGAAAGCAUUAAGUGACGCACCUGGGCAGUACGGUCGCAAGACUGAAACUCAAAGGAAUUGACGGGGGCCCGCACAAGCGGUGGAGCAUGUGGUUUAAUUCGAUGAUACGCGAGGAACCUUACCAAGGCUUAAAUGCAGAACGACAGUUAUGGAAACAUUUCUUUCUUCGGACGAUCUGCAAGGUGCUGCAUGGUUGUCGUCAGCUCGUGCCGUGAGGUGUCGGGUUAAGUCCCAUAACGAGCGCAACCCCUAUCUUUAGUUGCCGGCGAGUAAUGUCGGGGACUCUAGAGAAACUGCCCGUGUAAACGGUGAGGAAGGUGGGGAUGACGUCAAAUCAUCACGGCCCUUACGUCUUGGGCUACACACGUGCUACAAUGGUGGAGACAGAGAGUCGCGAACCCGUGAGGGUAAGCCAAUCUUCAAACUUCAUCUCAGUUCGGAUCGG
rnacentral:rRNA from 1 species